rnacentral:rRNA from 1 species
AUGAAACUGAGCAGGGGUGGCGUCACGGAGGAUUACCGAACGAACCACCUGUCACGCGUCAUCGUAUACCACCGGUCUCCCACCGCGACUUCGACUUCACAACAACAGACAGUCGAGGCACUCCCACGGACACGCCGGAGAAGAAGAGCCAGCUACCACGACCAAGGCCACACCUCCGACAUUGCCCACCGCCGUCAUCGUUGCCACAGAAGCCACUGUGCACGCCCAGUCGUAGGAAGGCACUACAGGGAUCAAAGUCUUCAAGACGGCGCCCUAAAGAGGGGAACGACGUUCAAGACGACGCCACCGUCCGACCCUGCAGCAGGAUCUAGGUUUUCACCCGAAGUACUUGAUCCGGGAGAUCCGGCUGUGAGAUUCCUGACGACGCCUCUAAGAAGGAUGGCGACGCCCACAGGCGCCGUCGCCGCCGGCCGGCCAGCACCGGCCAGGCUUUCUCCCGGGAUAGCCACUCCCACGUAG